GGGCACCUCAGCAGCUGCCUGGGGCCAAGGAGUGAGUCUCCAGACACUGGCAGCCCUGAGCUGGGACUAAAGGAGCAGUGGAACUCACAAGCCAGGAGGCUGCCUGGAGGAGGUCAGGAGAAAUGGCCACCACUCGAAGGGUGCAGUAGAGGGGGCGGUGUCUCCAAGCAGUGACAGGGGAGACCCUCUCCAUCGUGACGUCUGUAACACACCUACAGAACGCACCAAAUCGCUGGCCCUCGGGCUGGGCGCGCAGCUCAGUGGUCGAGAGCUUGCUGAGGAUACUGGAGGCCCUGAGGUCAAACCCCAGCAAGGAAGAAGCUAGGAAGUAGGAAGACCAAGGCCAGUCUGGGCUGCCCAAGGAAUUUUUUGGCUAAGGCUAGCCUGGGCAACAUAACAAAUUUCAGAACACUUCCUUCACUGAAGAAACACCCACCUCUGCCGCUCUGUAGUGAAUGCCUCUUCCCAAAACAGCACUAAAGCAGCCCACCUGUUUCCUGUCCAGCAGGAAUGCAAUCUUGGGGGUCUCUCGCUGAACCUGGAGCUAGGCUGGCAGCAGGACACCCCAGCUAUCCCCCAUCUACCUCCUCCACAGACAUUACAGCAAAAGCUCUUGCCUACUGAGCCACAUCCCCAGCCCCUGCUGCAGCUUCUUCAUUUAGAAAAGACUCCAGCACUGAACCCCAGCAUGCAUCUCAGUUUGUGUGUUCCCAAUGGAAAAGUCAAGCGGGAAAGAGAGGCAUGGCCAAUCGCGUGUAACACAUGUAUCGAGUCUGUGGCCCCAGUGUGAGCCCCAUUGAAAUGGGAAAGCAGGAGAGCAACCCCAAGGAAGCUGCCAAGAGGACGGUAUCUGAGGGCAGGCUUUGGGUCUGGGGGUGUGGGCACUGUGGAAAUCAGGUUACUGGCUGUGGUGGUCUGAAUGAGAUGUCCCCGAUAGUCUCAGCUAUUUGGAUAUCUGGUCCCAGCUGGUAGUAUUGUUUGGGGAGGGUUAGGUGUGACUUUGUUGGAGGAAGCAGGUCCACUGGAGGCCGGCUUUAAGAGUUUAAAGAUUCACCAUUUGGAGUGCACCCUCUAGGCUUCCUGCUUGCGGUUCCAGCCACCUCACCUGCUGCCUCCACUCCACCCCCCCACCCCACCCCACCCCACCCCC